rnacentral:rRNA from 1 species
CUAGUUGGUGAGGUAACUGCUCACCAAGGCGACGAUCAGUAGCUGGUCUGAGAGGACGACCAGCCACACUGGAACUGAGAGACGGUCCAGACUCCUACGGGAGGCAGCAGUGGGGAAUUUUGGACAAUGGGGGGAACCCUGAUCCAGCAAUGCCGCGUGAGUGAAGAAGGCCUUCGGGUUGUAAAGCUCUUUUGUUGGGGAAGAAAAGAUAACCUUUAAGAAAGGUAAUCGCUGACGGUACCCAAAGAAUAAGCACCGGCUAACUACGUGCCAGCAGCCGCGGUAAUACGUAGGGUGCGAGCGUUAAUCGGAAUUACUGGGCGUAAAGGGUGCGCAGGCGGUUUUUUAAGUCAGCUGUGAAAUCCCCGGGCUUAACCUGGGCAUGGCAGUUGAGACUGGAAGGCUAGAGUGUGUCAGAGGGGGGUAGAAUUCCACGUGUAGCAGUGAAAUGCGUAGAGAUGUGGAGGAACACCGAUGGCGAAGGCAGCCCCCUGGGAUAACACUGACGCUCAUGCACGAAAGCGUGGGGAGCAAACAGGAUUAGAUACCCUGGCAGUCCACGCCCUAAACGGUGUCAACUGGUUGUUGGGACUAUCUAGGUCUUGGUAACGUAGCUAACGCGAGAAGUUGACCGCCUGGGGAGUACGGUCGCAAGAUUAAAACUCAAGGAAUUGACGGGGACCCGCACAAGCGGUGGAUGAUGUGGAUUAAUUCGAUGCAACGCGAAAAACCUUACCUACCCUUGACAUGACUAGAACCUGUCAGAGAUGAAAGGUGCCCGAAAGGGACUAGUACACAGGU